CUCUCUCUCUCUCUCUCUCUCUCUCUCUCUCUCUCUCUCUCUCGCCCUGCAUAUCGAAGGAGCUCAAUCCAAUGUCGGAGCAAAGCAAAAUUCGCUCAGCACGGAUGGAUCUGAGAAUGAACAUAAAGUAGGUCGGAAUUCAGCCGCAGAAAUUGCUGUCUAAUCCUGAAAGAAUCGGACAUGGACCAAGCCACUGAGUCGAAGAUUCGGAAUCAGCAGACGACGAGGAGUCCAAAGUAGCAGAGGAGAGCAACUAGGAGCGUGGGUUCGAUGAAAUGGCGAUCUCGUGAUUUGUAGGCUUUCGCAUAAGAGGAAGGUGACAGUUAAGGAGUUCAAGGGGAAACCAUUGGUGUCGUUGAGGGAGUUUUUUACUAAAGAAGGCAAGGAGCUCCCUACUUCUAAAGUGCCAAUAUCUGUUGUUGCAUCUUUCAAGAAGAUUAAGGCCCUCAUAAGUAGUCAUUCCCAGCUUGCAACUGUAUUGCGGAACUCCUCAAAGCUUUACAUGAAGAUGGGAAGAAGGUCAGACGCCAGCAUCCCCUGACUCAAUCAGAUAUGGAAGAGUUGCAAAUUGCCCACCUCAAAUUUAUAUUCCAGUUUUCCGCACCAUAGAGUUAAAGACCACGAGUUUUACUGAGAGG